rnacentral:lncRNA from 1 species
GGGAAGACAAAAAUUCUUCAAUUAAGACGUCGGUUCUGAACGUAAGCGACGUCUAAGUUCCUGUAAUUAAUUAUUUUCACCAAAUUCGAGGGGUUUAGACAUCGGCUAGGAGGGACAUCGACGUGAACUACCCCUGACAGGAAAUCAAACGUCAAUCUUUUCAGCUUCUUGACGUAGAAUAGACGUCUGAUCCCCUGAAACACCGACGUCUAUAGAUGUUGGUUUCUUAGCAACCGACGCCCCAUUUCAUUUUAAAUAGACCGCAGACUCUUUUCGCCAUUUAGUUUUUGAUGACGUCUUCAUCUCUUCUCCUUUUUCUCUGCUUCUCCUCUUCUUUUACUCGCUUGCGCGCCUCUACUUUUUAUCUCUUGCGGCAUUGCAUUGUCGUUUCUCAUAACGUCAUUGUCUUCGUCCUCUCCUUUUUCUCUUUUGCAUCCCAGGUGCGUGGUUGUUUUUUUUAUACUUACCGUUUAAACUUUCUUUAGUUUUUUAUCGAUUAUCUUGUCGUUCAACGGAUUAAAAUUUGUUUUCUUUGUGUUGUGUUUUAGUGCAGUUUUGAUCCUCUCUUUGGGUAACAUAUUGCAACAUUCUCCCUUUGCUGGUUUCCUCACAAGAAGAGUGGUGAUCUUUUGAGUUUUCUAAUUCUUCCGACCC